rnacentral:rRNA from 1 species
UACUCGAGUGGCGAACGGGUGAGUAACACGUGGGUGAUCUGCCCUGCACUUCGGGAUAAGCUUGGGAAACUUGGUCUAAUACCGGAUAGGAGCCAUCUUUAGUGUGGUGGUUGGAAAGUUUUUUCGGUGUAGGAUGAGCUCGCGGCCUAUCGGCUUGUUGGUGGGGUAAUGGCCUACCAAGGCGGCGACGGGUAGCCGGCCUGAGAGGGUGUACGGCCACAUUGGGACUGAGAUACGGCCCAG